UUCCGGUUGAUCCUGCCAGAGGCGACCGCUAUUGGAGUUCGAUUAAGCCAUGCGAGUCGAGAGCUUUAGGAGCUCGGCAUACUGCUCAGUAACACGUGGAUAACCUGCCCUGUGCUCUGGGAUAACCUCGGGAAACUGAGAAUAAUACCGGAUAGUCCACCACGCCUGGAACGGUGGGUGGAUCAAAGGUCACGGCACAGGAUGGGUCUGCGGCGUAUCAGGUUGUAGGGGGUGUAAAGGACCCCCUAGCCAUUGACGCGUACGGGUUGUGGGAGCAAUCGCCCGGAGAUGGAUUCUGAGACACGAAUCCAGACCCUACGGGGUGCAGCAGGCGCGAAAACUUCACACUGCAGGAAACUGUGAUGAGGGAACUCCAAGUGCAUGCACAAUGUGUAUGCUUUUCCUUACUUUUAAUCGGUUUGGGAAUAAGGGCUGGGAAAGACCGGUGCCAGCCGCCGCGGUAAUACCGGCAGCUCAAGUGGUCGUCGCUUUUAUUGGGCCUAAAACGUCCGUAGCCUGUUUGGUAAAUCUGUGGGUAAAUCAACCAGCUUAACUGGUUGAAUUCUGCAGAGACUGCCAGACUAGGGACCGGGAGAGGUGUGGGGUACUCUCGGGGUAGGGGUAAAAUCCUGUCAUCCUGGGAGGACCACCAGUUGCGAAGGCGCCACACUGGAACGGAUCCGACGGUCAGGGACGAAGCCUAGGGGCACGAACCGGAUUAGAUACCCGGGUAGUCCUAGGAGUAAACGCUGUGAACUUGGUGUC
rnacentral:rRNA from 1 species